rnacentral:piRNA from 1 species
UCGUGGUCAUUUUUUACAUAA